UGCUCCGGCUCUGCUUCCGGGUCGGAGGGCGAGCGCGCUGAUUGGCUCUCGGGCCCUCCCGCGAGAUUUGAAAUGUAACCUGCAGCGGCCAAAGCAGUCGAGAGCGGGUUACCUUGCAUGCAGGACGUUUUACCGGUCAAGUCUGCUCUCCCGGUGGUCUCGCUCGAGCCAGAGGAUGGCUGUGCUUUACCAGACGUCCGUCUUGGAUAUGAUCAAAGAGUUUAGACGGAAUUGGCACACUCUUUGUAGCUCUGAGCGAACUACUGUAUGUGGUGCAGACUUCAUGCUCUUGGCAUUGCAGCUUUCCAUGGCAGAGAACAACAAACAGCACAGUGGAGAAUUUUCAGUCUCUCUAAGUGAUGUAUUAUUGACCUGGAAAUACUUACUACAUGAGAAAUUGAACUUACCAGUUGAAAAUAUGGAAGUGACUGGCCAUUAUGAGGACAUUAGGAAGUCUUACGAUGAUUUCUUGAAGAAUAGUAAUAUGUUAGAUCUGAUUGAUGUUUAUCAAAAAUGUAGGAUUUUGACUUCUAAUUGUGAAAAGAAUGACAAGAUAUCCCCUAGUCAACUACGGGAUUUUCUGUCUGGCAGACAGUAUGCAGUAGAUGACGAAACCAAUCUUUGUGUGCCGACAUCACCAAGGAGUAAACCCAACCAGGAUAAUGAAAAGAUGCGAUUACUAGCCAAGAAAAUUAUCUGUUCAUAUUUGAGCCUACUAGUCAAUUCGAAGAAUGACCUGGCUUUGGCUCACAUUCUUAAUAUUCCUGAUAGAGGACUUGGAAGAGAAGCCUUCACAGACCUGAAGCAUGCUGCUCAAGAGAAACAGAUGUCUAUCUUUUUGGUGGCCACGUCAUUCAUUCGAACAAUACAGCUUGGGGGGAAAGGAUAUGCACCAUCACUCUCUGAUCCUUUAAGGACACAUGUAAAGGGAUUGUCUAAUUUUAUUAAUUUCAUUGACAUAUUAGGUGAGAUUCUUGGAGAAAUCCCAAAUCCAAGCAUUGCAGGGGGUCGGAUACUCUCAGUGAUAAAGACGCAGCUUAUUAAAGGCCAGGACAGCAGGGAUCCUUUCAGUAAGUCAGUAGAGGAAGUUGCUCAGGAUUUGGAUUUGAGGAUUAAAAAUAUUAUUGAUUCUCAACAAGGAGAUGUAGCUGUUCACACCACUGACAUCAGCCCUGCACGGCCAAAAUCACAUGCCAUAAACCAUGGCACAGCCUACUGUGGCAGAGAGACUGUGAAAACUUUACUAGUUCUUUUAGAUGAAGAAGCUGCUGAAGCUCCUUCCAGAAACAAAGCAGAACUCUUAUAUGGUGAUGAAAGUAGAGUUCGUUAUAAUGGAACUUCUAUUCUUACCCUUUUCAGAUCUCCUACACAAGUGAAUAAUUCAUCGAUGAAACCCCUAAGAGAACGCAUCCAGAAGUCAAUGCAAGAGAAGAAAGUUAAGGUAAAGCAAACCUUAAUUAGAUCCCAGUUUGCUUGUACUUACAAAGAUGAGUGCAUGAUAAGCAAGGAUAAAUGGAAUAGUGUUAAUUCAGCAUCAAAGCCCCUAUGUGUUCUUCGCAUGGAAAAUGACCCUCCUGAAGGUGUAAAUUCAUCUGUUGGAAGACCAACAAUUGGAACAAGUUCUGGAAAUGUUCAUUUGGACAGAAGUAAAAAUAAAAAAAUACAAAAAAAAUCAAGUAGUCAGACAGGAAAUGAGAACUCAAAAAGGAAACAGGUGGAUUUGGAUGGCGAACAUGUUUUCUGUGAUAAUGGAAAUGAAUUACUUCAACAGAAAAAUACUAAGAUACCUAAGACAUCAAAGGAUUCGCAGAAUACAUUGGAUGGCAAACUAGCUCGAACAGCAAAAGGCAACAAGUGUACCGCCAGGGAGAAAUUGAUUGCUGGCCAGACAAAGUUAACUCAGUUUUUUAGACUAUGAAUUUGUCUUUUAUAUGUAUUAGAUUUAUGUAUAUGUAAAACCAAAGGCAUAUACUUGAUUUUUAAAAGGUCAAGGUGUAAAUUACCCUGAUUCUUUUUUUAUUUUGAUCUGGAGUGUAUUUAAGGUUAGUGUGUUAAACAUUGUUCAAAAAUACUAGUAAGUCGUAAUCAUGCAGAAUUUUCAUGAAGUUUAAUGCACAGAAAAAACAUCAUUUACAUUACUGAUGUAUCAUAGUACUUCCUUUUAAAACAUGUUAAGAUAAUACAUAGUAGCAUAAUAAAGUUACAGUAACAUUAAGGGCUUUUUCCUUAACUGGCAAUUAAAUGAUUUUGUCUUCCUCUGAAAAGAUGAUGUGAACCAAAAAGUAUCAGACUUGCCAACAAGGGAAGGAGCAACGACUGAUUUUUCUGCAGUAUCUUCCUUCUGGAAGGCUUUCCCGAGCCUAAAUGUAUUAAAUACCAUGUCAUCUUCUAAAUUUCUUAUGGACUUUGCCGAAAGUAAAAUACCUUGAGAAAACAAAAAAAAGGUUAGUAUAAAUGUAUAGGACGAGAGACUCAUUUUAGCCAUUCUUAGUUUGAUGUUUGCAUAGAGUCAAAGAUGUAUAAAAUGAAGUAAAAUUUCUGGGUCAGCCUGCUUCAUAAAUGAGUCCCACCUUUAUAUAUUUUCCAGUUUGAAUAGAAAACACUUCAAAGUCUUACAUUUCCCUCAUUUUAGAAAUGACUCAUCAGGUAUAAACUAACCUCUUCUGAGGCUGCUAAUACCUACAUUGUUUUGGUUUUAGUGGCAUACUGUUUAUUCUUGAAUAUGAGUUUCUCAGAAUCUGAUUAAGACCACUGGUAGAACGCUUUCUGUUGAGGAGAUUAUAGUCUCUUGAAAAUGGGUUGUUAUUAAGAAAGACCACAGGACAUCAGGCUUUCUAUAUACUCUUGUUGUUUCCUUCUGUGUAUUUUUGGAUUAAGAUAUUAAAACAAAAUUAUUUCACUCAAGGAUGAUAAGGAUAAAAGUUUUAUUUAUCUUUAAUCCUGAUUAACUUGAAAAAAUCUUCAAAAAGGAUUUUUCUUACAUCAAUACUUCAUAUAGUUUUUGGUGAUUAUUUGUAUAUAGUAUUUGGUGAUAUGCCUGUCAGUUUGAAAAAAAGUCAUUCAUGCUGUAUGUAAAACUGAAUUGUCAAGUAUGGGUAUUUUAUCUCUGCACUUAUAAAAGGAUAAUACUGACAUUUACGAUGGCAGCGGGUUAUUAACGGUUAAUGAAUAACAAGUCUGUACAAGCUUUUUUUCAUAGAUAAUAUUUUUGGAUGAUGAGAGUAGGUUGUAUGAUUUUUAAUUAAACAUUUAAGAGUUAAUUCCUAAUUUUAAUCCCAGUGAAUAAAAGAAUGUACUCAUGGUCAUGUCUUUUAAUAUACAUGUGUAAGUUUUUUUUAGGGUAUAUUUCUAGGUAUGGAAUUGUGGGGUCAUGGAGUAUGUUGCAUGUUUUACAAAAUAGUACUAACCAAUUUAUGCUCCCACCCAGUAGGGUAUGAGAGUUCCUAUUGCUCCAUAUCCUAGCCAACGGUUGGGUAUUUAUUUUCCUUUUAAUUUGUAUCUCCUGUCAUGAGUUGGGGGUUGACUCCAUGACAGCUAACAAUGAUCACCGAAGAGGUUCAGUGUUUUUUCAUAUGUUUAGAGCCAUUUAUCUUUCCUCUUGUGUAAAGUGCCUUAUUAUUAUUAUUUUGGUCUUCGUCUAUUUUUUGAUUGUGGUUUUUGUCAUUUUUGUAUUGAUUCAUGAACUCUUUAUAUAUUCUGGAUAUUAAGUUUUUGUCAGUUACAUGUGUUACCUUUCAUGACCAUUUAUCUUUUUUUCUGAAGUACACACUUUAGAUGCUAACUUAGUUAUAAACUCGGGUUUAAAAAAAUUUUUUUAGUGUCAUUAUUUUACCAUUGUUCUUGAAAAAUAGUUUCAGUAAAUAUACAAUUAUUCAGUUGACAGUUAUUUUCUUUCAGCACUUUAUUAAUAUUUCAGUGUCUUCUGGGUUUUGUUGAUAUUGCUGAGUAUUCAGCUGUCAGUUUUAAUCAUGGUUCUUCACAGGUAGUCUGUAUUCUAUCUGCUUUUAAAAUCUCUUUAUCUUUGUUGUUCUGUAGUUUCACAUGAUGUACCUGGGUACUGAUUUAUUUUCGUUUAUGCUGGCUUAGAUUCAUUGGUGUUUCUCGUGAAUUUUGGAAGAUCAUUAGCUGUUAUCUCUUAGAGUAUUGCCUCUUUCCCAUUCCAUUUUCUCUUUUGGGAAUUCCCACCCAGUGGUGUAGUGGUUAAGUGCUACAGCUGCUAACCAAGAGGUUGGCAGUUCACAUCCCCCAGGUGCUCCUUGGAAACUCUGUGGGGCAGUUCUACUCUGUCCUGUGGGGUCGCUAUGAGUCGGAAUCGACUCGACGGCAGUGAGUUUUUUAUGUAUUGGACUUGUUCACCCAUCUCCUGUAGCUCUUAACCAUACGUUCCUAUUUUCUAUCUCUUUCUGUUCCCAUGCUGUAUUUUAAAUCAGUUUUUCAUUUCACUCGUGUACUUUCACUUAUGUAUAAUCUGCUCUUUAACUUGUCUAUUGAGUUUUUAAAUUUUAUUGUAUUUUUUAUUUUUAAAGGUUAUAGUUGGUUCCUUUUCAGUUUUGAUUUUUUUUUUUCCUGCAGCACGUUUACAAUUUCUUCUUUGUUUUAGACCUAUUGAACAUUGUUUAUAUUUGUAUCUGAUUUUUCCAAUGUUGGCUGUCUUUCAUUCUGUAGUUUUGCUAUUUCUGCUGAUUCUGGUUCAUAAUGUCUUCUUCAUGCGUUUAGUGAAUUUUAAUUUUUUGCAUAUGUUCUUGGAACUGUAUCCAAGGAAUUCUUAGAAUUCUGAUGUUCUACCUUCAGAGAAGAUUUGUGUUUGUUUCUGUUAGACACCUGGGGGUACUACCAGUCCAGUGGCCCUUUAAAUGAAAUUUUUGGCUUAGGACCGAGUUUGUGAUUAGGAAUUCCCAGGAUGAUGUAUUUUCUUUUUCACCCCACUCUUCCCGGAGUCAUUCCUCAGACAGGCACGGUUCUCUCUACUAGCUGAGCUUUUCUAGCUCCCAGCUCUGUAUGGGAGUUUCUGACUUGACCUUUGAUUUUUACUGGGGCCCUAAGCUUUGCCUUCUGUCCCAACACACAAAGGUCAUUAAAACCAGGCUCUAGGCCACCAGGAAUUCAUAGAAGCUGUCAGAGCAAAUGCUGGCUGUAGUCCUUGUUAACCCCUGUGGAAUAUUGCACUUUCUCAUUUCUGGCCUCCUUUGGUUUCCUUUACUGCCAGCUCAGCCAUGCACACACAAAGGAUGUUUUCAUCUAGCAGUUUCAGGUGUUUUUUACUGAGAGGAGUUCUCUGCACAGUAGUCUGCUGUAUCACUGGAAAUGGAAGCCUCAAUCCAUUUUUUCAUGGAAAAUUCUCUCUGCAAGGGAAUUUGAAUCAUUUGAAUAAAAUUUCUAUGUAUUGUGUAUUAAAUUAUUUCUUCUUUUAAAACUACCUGGUUAUAGGACUGUAUUUCAAAUUGUUUAAAUCUCUGAUUUCUUUUUAAGUGUAGUGAAAAUAUACUUAAUGAAAUACAUCUCAACAAUUUCCUCAUUUACAGAAAUCUCUGAUUCCUUUAAGAACAUUUUAUCAGAGGUAGGGGGCAGUUAAGAGCUGAUUCUCUUAGGGGCUAUUUAAAUCUUAUUAGACAAAUGCUUUCUGAGCGUGUAUUUGUAAACAAAGACUCUAAAAUCCUCUGACUCCUUUGAUUUUAGAGACUCCUUACCUUUUUAAUGUUGUUAGUUGCACUUUGAUUUCCUUCUUAGGGUUUGAACCUGCCUUGCAGCUGCCAGUUUAAUCUAUAAAAGGCCUUGUUAACUGGUAACCUCUUUUCUUAGCUGCUGUUCUUGAAAUAUAAUAAAUAUUAGUAAUUAUGUAUUUGUUUUAAAUUUCCACUGGGUAAAUUGGUUUGGCUGAUCUUUACCCCAAAUCAGGACCAACUCCAAACCAUUUUGAUGGUUUAGAAAAGUUAAUGUUUUCCUCUUUUUUGCUUAAGCUGUUGUAAGCCUCUGGACAUUAUGAGGUUUUCCCAUAACCUUUUAAUUAUGAAGAUAUUUUCCAGUUUUUUUUUAAUGAUAACUUAAAAAAAAAAAACAUUGGUUACUCUGAUGUGCAGUAGAGCAUAGUAGAUUUCUUUCUCAUUGAUGCUGAAAAUUAAGUGUCCCCAAGUGGUAGGAAGGAACUUUGAAGAAAAACUAUUGCCAGAUGGGCUUGGGUGGUUCAGAAAGUCUUGGAAAGACAAAAGUUUUAUAUCAGAUGUGAUCCAUGUUUUCUGAAGAACUACUAAUAAUACCGUAUAUUUGUAAAUCACUUUGUCAAACUUCUCUUCCCCUCCAAGUAACAUAUAUUUGCUUCAUGAUACCAGUAAAUUCAGUACAAAUCAAAUGGUGAUUGGUCAUUGGUUUCCUGAGAACUCUGAGUUUCUUAAUGACUUAUUUUAAGUCUAAAAGCCAAGAUUGUGAUGAACCUACAAAACAUCUUACAACAUGGAUGAAUCUGGACAGCAUUAUGCUGAGUGAAAUAAGUCAGUCAUUAAAGGACAAAUACUGUAUGAGACCACUCUUUUAAAAACUCAGGAAAAGGUUUACACAUAGAAAUAGACAAUCUUUGAUGGUAACUUGGGAGGGUGUGGGACAGGAAAAACACUAAAUAGACAGCAGUUAAGUAGUAACCUUGGUGAAGGGUAUGGCAGUACACAAUACUGGGGAAGUUGAACCAACUUGACCAAGGCAAGGUCAUGGAAGCUUCACAGAUACAUCCACACUCCCUGCAGGACUGAAUUACUGGGCUGAGGGCUCUGGGGACAUCUAGUUCAAUUGGUAUAAAAUAGUUUAUAAUAUUCUACAACCUACUUUGGUGAGUAGUGUUUGGGGUCUUAAAAGCUUGUGAGCUAAGAGACUCUACUGGUUCCAUCUCAUCUGAAGCAAGGGAGAAUGAAGAAAACCAGACACAAGGGAAAGAUUAGUCCAAAGGACUAAUGGCCACAACUACCAUAGGCUCCACCAGACUUGAGUCCAGCACAACUAGAUGAUGCCCAGCUACCACCACUGACUGCUCUGAUAGGGUUCACAAUAGAGGGUCCCGGGCAGAGCUGGAGAAAAGGUGUACUCACAAAAAAAGACCAGACUUACUGGUCUGACAGAGACUGGAGAAACCCUGAGAAUAUGGCCCUGGAUACCCUUUUAACUCAGUACUGAAGUUACUCCUGAGGUUCACCCUUCAGCCAAAGAUUAGACAGGUCCAUAAAACAAAACGAGACUAAAUGGGCACAUCAGCUCAGAGGAAAGGAUGAGAAGGCAGGAGGGUACAGGAAAACUGGUAACAGGAAACCCAAAGUUGAGAAGGGAAAAGUGUUGACAUGUUGUAGCGUUGGCAGCCAAUGUCACAAAACAAUAUGUGUGUUAAUUGUUUAAUGAGAAAUUUGCUCUGUAAACCUUCAUCUAAAGUACAAUUAAACUAAAAGCCAGGAUUGUUUGCUUACAUUAUCAAAAGGUAUAAGAAAACUUAGAAGUCAUUCUCAACUUUUUCUGCUAAAGAACCCCUAACUACAUAAAAAAAAGUGAAUGUAUAGUUCUGAUUCAGAGGGUAUAGCCAAAGCAGUCAUGGCAAGUGAGAAGUUGGAAUU